rnacentral:rRNA from 1 species
CAGAGAACAUCCCUAGAGGAUGGAGCUCCCCACCCUUGUGUAUUAUUACUUUGUUGCUUUGGCGAGCUGCCUUCGGGCCUCAAGCUUUCGAGCUUGGGCGCGCUCGCCAGAGGAUAUCAAAACUCUUUUUAUUAAUGUCGUCUGAGUACUAUAUAAUAGUUAA